rnacentral:rRNA from 1 species
GUCGAGCGGGUUUAUCCUUCGGGGUAAGCUAGCGGCGGACGGGUGAGUAACNCGUAGGUAACCUGCCUUUAAGACUGGGAUAACUAUCGGAAACGAUAGCUAAGACCGGAUAACCGGUUUUCUCGCAUGAGAGAAUCGUAAAACACGGAGCAAUCUGUGGCUUAGAGAUGGGCCUGCGGCGCAUUAGCUAGUUGGUGAGGUAACGGCUCACCAAGGCGACGAUGCGUAGCCGACCUGAGAGGGUGAACGGCCACACUGGGACUGAGACACGGCCCAGACUCCUACGGGAGGCAGCAGUAGGGAAUCUUCCGCAAUGGACGCAAGUCUGACGGAGCAACGCCGCGUGAGUGAUGAAGGUUUUCGGAUCGUAAAGCUCUGUUGCCCUAGACGAACAGCAUGAGGAGUAACUGCCUUGUGUGUGACGGUAUAGGAGAAGAAAGCCCCGGCUAACUACGUGCCAGCAGCCGCGGUAAUACGUAGGGGGCAAGCGUUGUCCGGAAUUAUUGGGCGUAAAGCGCGCGCAGGCGGUCAUUUAAGUCUGGUGNUUAAUCCUGGGGCUCAACCCNAGUUCNCAUCGGAAACUGGAUGACUUGAGUGUAAGAGAGGAAAGUGGAAUUCCACGUUGUAGCGGUGAAAUGCGUAGAGAUGUGGAGGAACACCAGUGGAAAA